GCUUUCCUACGGGACGCAGCAGUCGGGAAUAUUGCACAAUGGAGGAAACUCUGAUGCAGUGACACCGCGUAUAGGAAGAAGGUUUUCGGAUUGUAAACUAUUUUAGACAGGGAAGAAAAAAGACAGUACCUGUAGAAUAAGUUCCGGCUAACUACGUGCCAGCAGCCGCGGUAAUACGUAGGGAGCAAGCGUUAUCCGGAAUUAUUGGGUGUAAAGGGUGCGUAGACGGGACA
rnacentral:rRNA from 1 species